ensembl:lncRNA
GCAGCUUGUGGCAACACCAGAUCCUUAACCCACUGAGUGAGGCCAGGGAUUGAACUCCUAUCCUCACAAUGUCGGGUUCUUAACCUACUGAGCCACAGUGGGAACUCCAGGGAACUGGUUCUUGGUUCUCCCUGUUACUAUUUGUGUGGUCUUGGCCCUCGAUCUAAAGAAGCUUCCAUUUCUGCAUCUGUAAAAAAGGCCCAAGACUUCCUACCUCGCCAGUUGGUGUGCAGAUCAGAGACAAAGACUGGGAGGUACUUACCCCAGUGCUGGCAUACAGUAGGUGCUCUAUUCAUAGAAGCAACAGGAUGGGAACAGCUCCCAAAACAUUUUGUCUCUGAGAAAGGAUCAGUAUCUACCCAUCAAAGUCUUAAAUACUCUUAGGUUAUUCGAGAUGGGAGAGAGGUUAGAGCUGCAUCAGAAAGCAUCCUGGCUUGAUGGAGAAGGACUCAAAAGCUGGGAAUUGACUGUGCCAAGAUUACCCUGUUACUUUGAGGAGGGUGGAGGAGGCAGAAGAGAAAGCAGAUACAGGGAUGACUUUGGAGUGAGAAAGAAAGAAGAAGGGAAUAAAGAGGAUUGUGGGAGGAGGAGCCCGUAGCGCCAACAGGAGAGCGAGGCUCGGCAGAGGAGCAGUAAGCAGAGAGAACCCAAGGAAGGGACCGUCUGUUUGAAGAACCAGGUGACUUGGGAGAGGUGGCCAGAGGCUUUGGACUUUAUUCUUAAUAUAGUGCAGAGGGUUUUAAUCAGAAGAGUAUAGAGUAUUUUCUGAUUUUGUUCGAAUGCACUUUUUUUUGGCCAAAGUCUCUCUGGAAGGAAGAGACUUUUAACUAAGCCUGCCCCCCCUUCCCUUCCCCUUGGGGACCGUCUCCAGAAGGGCUCUUAGGCCCUUCAGAAUGCACAAUGGAGACCUGAUUUGCAGGUAGGUUCCAGAAUCCUGAGCAUCUGUGACUUGCCUGCCCAGGGUCUCUUGCCUGGUGUCCAGAAACAGGACCCAGGGUUCUUGUCAUUAACCGAAAGGGCAAAGGGUGGUCCUUCUGCUCUUUUUCUGUCUGUGGUUUUCCUAAUUCUCAACACUUCUGUCAGCUGUUACAUAGUGUGUCUGCUCCCUAGGUCACUAAAAUGUUUCCCCAUGACCACAGAAAAAGGUGUUAAGUCAAUGCAGUUCUGUCUGAAAUAGGAUCCGUGUGUCAUGCAUCCCUGAGUUUGGGUUUUUCCAACGACAUCAUGACACCUCAGACCUUUGCCUUUUCAUCUGCUCCGAACUAAAAAAGAAAUCAUUCGUUUCUAUUUCAGUCCAGCUCAGCUUUUUGGCUUUGCUGUAGUUGCUUUGAGGUAAGAUAUGAUCAACAGUAGAAACCACCAGCUCCCACCUGGAGCUCAUUAGAUGGCUGAACAGUGCAGUGUAGACGAUGGAGUCCCACUAGCACACUUCUGAUACUGGGCAUUGUUCACUUUGGGUUUGUUGUUACAAAUUAUGGAGGCGGUCCUGGGGUGGCCCAGCAGGUUAAGAACUCAACUCGUAUCCAUGAGAUGCAGGUUCAAUCCCUGGCCUCACUCAGUGAGUUAAGGAUCCGGCGUUGCUGCAGGCUCUGGCAAAGGUGGCAGACACAGCUUGGAUCUGUCAUUACUGUGGCUGUGGCGUAGGCUGGCAGCUGCAGCUCCAAUUCACUCCCUCACCCAGGAACUUCCACAUGCCGUGGGUGCAGCCAUAAAAAAGAAAAAAGGAAAGAAAAACUUAUAGAAAUGCUGAAAACUUGAGUAGAUAGCAUCCGGCACCUUCAUUUUACAGGUAAGGAAACAGCCUCAGAGGAGUUCCCUGGUAACUCAGUGGUUAAAGAUCUGGCAUUGUCCUUGCAGCGGCUUGGGUCACUACUGUGGCACAGGUUCAAUCCCCAGAACUUCCACAUGCCUCGAGCGAGUGCAUCCAGAAAGAAAAAGAAACAGCCUCAGAGAAGUGAUGUGCUUUGGGUCAGCCUCACACCCUGACAGGUCCAGGUUUGUGACUCUGAGUAACCCUUGCACAAUAGCUUUGGGGACCACGUUCUGAGGACAGGCAGGUCCUGCUGUUCCGAAAUCCAGGGCUUGUCCUUUGGGUGGUUCUCAGCCUCCCCACCUCUUGAUUCUUUUAUGAAGUUCUGCCUGGCAGGUUUCGAGGCACAUGUGGCCACAGAUGAAGCACGUCCACUGUGACCUCACUGACUAUGAGGAUGAAGCAAGGAGACCAAACGCUGAUGCAGACACUGGUGCCUCCUCCACUUGCAGUUUGGCUCCAGGGGUGGAGACGGGGAUAAAUAUGUAUCAGCAUGAAUGGAGUAGAGGUCUGUCUCUAACCUGAAACUGCAUCUGAACGUGAACUGCCGGGUCGUCCUAAUGAACUUCAGAGGCCCCCUCCCCAUUCUUUUCCACCCAAAUUUUUUCUAAGGCGGGGUGGGCAGGCCGAGCCCGUUUGGCCAAGUGAAAUGCAUGGAAAAGAGGCACGGUCCUGCAUGCCUUUUCGGUGUCCACAUCCGGAUUUACCUAAACCCCACCCAGGUGGCAUUUGCGUAGCUCUGAAAAACCGGUAUUUUCUAUCCGUGAAUCACACCCCCAAUCCUGGGCUUCCGUCCGUCAGGGGUGCGGCUGGCCAGCUUCCGGGAAGGAUGGGCAUCAUUGGAGGCCCGGGGAGCGUGGCUGGGGAAGGUCCCGGUGCCCGGGGGUCCGGCGGUGACUGCUGACGUCCGCUUUCGGGUCUGGACAUGGAGCCCUCUGUGCGCCCUCCUGUCAAAAGGCCAGACAAGGAAAGCGGCUUCCUGAGUUUCUGCUGCCCGGGGCCCUGCUGUGCGGGAGACAAGAGCAAGGUACCAAAGCGGCCUGAUGCUGGGGGUCGUCGCCCUUCGCCGGGUCUCUCCUCUGCUGUGCGGUGACUCCUGGGGCAGCUCGCCUGGGGCUGAGCUCUUCCCGGCCACUCACUGCUGGGGGAGCACCGAGAGGCCCCAGGGGUCCCUGUGGUUUCUUUUAAGUUAAAUUAUGCUUUGCUGCCAAGGAUCAUUGCUCACAGCAAUUAAACCUGGUUUCAUGAUGAUUAAAUUACUUUUCUUUACUCUGAAAAAGUAAAGAAAAGAAUUUCGUUUUCUGUACAAAGGCAGGAAGCAUUUUUCUUUGAUGAUACAGAGCGUCCCCAGGUAAGGUGUAAGCCACGCUCCUGUGCUGGGCUCUGAAAUCAUGAGUCCGUGGCCUCCUGCUUUGGAAAUGCCACAGCGAUUGGAAAACCGAGUGCUUCUGGUUAAGAAUUUUCUCAGAAACCAAAAAAAAAAAAAAAAAAAA